rnacentral:tRNA from 1 species
GCGCGCUUAGCUCAGUGGUAGAGCGUCUCGUUGACGUCGAGAAGGUCGUAGGCUCAAUCCCUACAGCGCGCA